GCCUAAGACAUGACAAGUCGAACGGAGUGGUCCAAUGAAGGCUGAGUGCUUGCACAAGUUGGAUUUGGGUUCCACUUAGUGGCAGACGGUGAGUAACACGUAGGUAACCUACCUCAAAGUCUGGGAUAACAGGACGAAAGUUUUGCUAAUACCGGAUGAUUUGUAGACAGAUAACUAUCUAUACUAAAAGAAGCGUUUGCUUCGCUUUGAGAUGGGCUUGCGGUGUAUUAGCUAGUUGGUGAGGUAAUGGCCCACCAAGGCAACGAUGCAUAGCCGAGCUGAGAGGCUGAACGGCCACACUGGGACUGAGACACGGCCCAGACUCCUACGGGAGACAGCAGUUAGGAAUAUUCGUCAAUGGGGGAAACCCUGAACGAGCGAUGCCGCGUGAGUGAUGAAGGUCCUUUGGAUUGUAAAACUCUGUUGUAAAGGAAGAAACUCUAUCAUAGGAAAUGAUGAUAGACUGACGGUACUUUGCCAGAAAGCCCCGGCUAACUACGUG
rnacentral:rRNA from 1 species